UCUCCUUCCCCGGAGACUGUUUCGUCUGAAUGUUGGCCAUCGAGCUCUGUAAAUAGGGAAAUUGAAAAUAAAAAUACAUAAAAUGUCUAAUGUUUUCAAGCUAAGCGACUGAAAGUCUAAGAUAGUAAGAUAGCAAACUAUUUAUUCGCAUGCACAUCAAAAAUGCCGCAGGCCACAACAUUUGGAUCUCAGCUUGUCACUUUUCAUUCAUGUAUUUAAAUGUGUCUGUGUGUGUGUAACUGGCAGUUCUUGCAGGGCCCAACGAAGUCCAGUUCAGGGAACAUGUCACUUGCCAAAUAAACUGCAAUGUGACAGCCAACAACAACAACGACAUGAAGUAAAAGAUAGCGUCGAUGAUAUAAGGGAGUAUGGAAGAUUAAACAAGAGAGCAUGAGAAUAAAAGACAACUGAAGCUAGAGAGCGACAUUCGUCCAUGGUGGAAUAUAUUAGAAAUACAAACUGAUAAGGCGAUAAUUGUGCACAACCCUUGCGACUAUGGUUACAUCCCCCCAAUGGUUUGGCGUUUAAUGAAGUGUCAUCGCCUGUAAAAUGAGUCUGUAAAUCGUAUUAAACCAACUACACGGUUUAGGGAAGACCUUGUCAAGUACGACAGCAAACUCCCGUUACCGUGUUGCCGAAGGCUACAGAUUGCGGAUUAUACAGAUACAGUAGCUGCCUUGCACACAAACACGCGGUUGAAAUUUACCCACAGAGAUUUGGUUCACCAGAAUCUUUGUGUUGAUGAGGUUAAACUAAUUAUAAGAGCCUGAGUAAAUAUACAUACAACAAUCUCGUUUCGUUUUUUGUACAUAUUGACGCUUAUAUAAGAAGUUAUAUAUCUAAUCU